AGCAGCCGCGGUAAUUCCAGCUCCAAUAGCGUAUAUUAAAGUUGUUGCAGUUAAAAAGCUCGUAGUUGAAUUUCGGGAUUGGCGCAUCGGUCGUGCCUCACGGGGUAUGAACUGGUGCAGUCAAUUUCUCACCUUCUGGAGAACCGCGAUGUCCUUAAUUGGAUGCCGCGGGGAACCAGGACCUUUACUUUGAAAAAAUUAGAGUGUUUAAAGCAGGCAUUUUUGCUUGAAUACAUUAGCAUGGAAUAAUAAAAUAGGACGGCAUAGUUCUAUUUUGUUGGUUUCUAGGACCACCGUAAUGAUUAAUAGGGAUAGUUGGGGGCAUUAGUAUUCAAUUGUCAGAGGUGAAAUUCUUGGAUUUAUUGAAGACUAACUACUGCGAAAGCAUUUGCCAAGGAUGUUUUCAUUAAUCAAGAACGAAAGUUAGGGGAUCGAAGACGAUCAGAUACCGUCGUAGUCUUAACCAUAAACUAUGCCGACUAGGAAUCAGACGAUGUAAUUUUUAAUGACUCGUUGGCAC
rnacentral:rRNA from 1 species